UGAGGUAGUCUGGUGACUUUCAGUAUAUUACACAAUUCAUGGGAGUAUUUUCAUGAUGUUUGUUGCUUGAGGGAGAUUACUGUGAAAGGAACUAUGGGGGUGGCGACUGCAUGUAUUAAAGACAAAUACAAUAAUAUGAGAUGGACAUGGAAAGAAGUGCAAGAAUCAUUUUGGAGGGAUGGUUCCAUGAAAAGUCAACUUUAGAGGUGUUCUCUCCUUCCAGAGAUGUACAAGUCUGUAUAAACCUUGCUGAUGAUUCAGUUCAUCAGGGAUCAGUGGAAAAAGUACAGGUUACGCACAGACACUUCGGUUACGGCGUCCCGACUGCUGCUUAGCAACAGAGCAGCUUCGUCAUCCCGAGCCGCACGCGUACGUCAUCACACAGUGCCGCUCAGGCCGCGCACCGGGAUCACGGGCGGCCGCACUCUGGUGGUUUGGCGGGCUUCCUCUCCUUAUAGGGCUUCGGUGAAGAACUUGAAGAUGGAGGAGAAGCUCUUCCACGAAGUCAGCUCAUGACGCUCCGUUCCUGGGGAGAGAAGACAGAAAAGCAGUGACUGACUGAGACGUGGGAACAUCCUUGUAAGAAGAGAGAAUUCCUCUGCUAGUGGUCAGUAACAAAAACGGGCAGAAGGGUCUUUAUGGCUAAAGACAGAAAGUGACUGAAAGGUCGUUUUGUGACCCAUAUUGAAGAAAACCCAGAGGAUGAACGUGACAGCUGCCAAAAAAAUGUCUCUCUUAACAUUGAUAUUAAUAAUAAUAAUAAUUUUAUUUAUAUAGCACUCUUUCUCCAACAGGACUGAAGGCGCUUUACAGAAAUAAAAAGCAAUGCACAAAAUACAGAAGAUUUAAGUAAUAAAGCAAUAGAUAAGCCACACAGACAUAAACGAAAACCUUGAGUGUGCAGUAAGUAUAAUGCAGGAUUGGUGUAGGCAUUUUGUGUGAUAACUUCCAAGGAUUGUGUAUUCCACCCUCACAAGGUACCAGGUGCGACAGCCAUCUUGGGCGCACUGUGUAGGAUUACCCAGGGUGGAAUAGUCUACCCCUAGAAGAGAUAACACAAAAUGGGGAGAUUGCAGAGCCCUAAAAUUCAGGUGCAUGUAUUUUUCAUCCCAUCCACAAGUGCACCAGAUGAGGCAGCCAUGUUGGGUGCACUAGGAAGGUUACACUGUGGGAGAUGAGCCAUACAAGGGCCAAAUGCAUGUAUGGGAAAACUGACUCGUGUGUAGUAGUAUGCUAUACCCUGCAUGGAAAUCGGAGUACCCAGAGAAAACCCACGCAAGUACAGGGAGAAUAUACAAAUUCCACUCAGUUAGGGCCAUGGUGGGAAUGGAACCCAUGACCUCAAUGCUGUGAGGCAGUAAUGCUAACCAUUACACCGUCCGUACUCUUAACAAAUCAUCUUUCUUGUAUUCUAUUCAUUGUUGUUAUUAUUCUUAUUAUGAUGAUGAUUCUUAUUUUUUAUAAUACAUGGUCUUUAUUUUAAAUAUAAAAAAAAAUGCACAUGGCAUAGUAAUCAUAUUAUCAGACAAAUAAAGAAAUAUAGUCAUAGUAAGAAAAAGAGAAAAACUCCUCUUAUUAACCAUGUAGAAAUGCUUCAGCAGAUUACUAUCAUACGGUCCAGCCCACACAAUGCCAUAUUGCUUACAGUCAGAUUGCUCUCCAAUAUCUUAGAACGCCAAUAUUCUACAAAGUUUAUUUACACUUGUAAAAACAAUGGGAAGGAUUCAGUAAGGCUUCAGCUGACACAAUAAAGUGACACUAAAUGAGGAGACUGAA